rnacentral:rRNA from 1 species
GGUUUGAUCCUGGCUCAGAUUGAACGCUGCGGAUGCUUUGGCACAUGCGCGCCGAACGGCAGCACGGACUUCGGUCUGGUGGCGAGUGGCGAACGGGUGAGUAAUGUAUCGGAACGUGCCUAGUAGCGGGGGAUAACUACGCGAAAGGUAGCUAAUACCGCAUACUGCCCUUCGGGGGAAAGCGGGGGACCCCGGGCCUCGCCGUACCAGAGCGGCCGAUAUCGGAUUAGCUAGUUGGUGGGUAACGGUCACCAAGGCGACGAUCCGUAGCUGGUUUGAGAGGACGACCAGCCACACUGGGACUGAGACACGGCCCAGACUCCUACGGGAGGCAGCAGUGGGGAAUUUUGACAAUGGGGAAACCCUGAUCCAGCCAUCCCGCGUGUGCGAUGAAGGCCUUCGGGUUGUAAAGCACUUUUGGCAGGAAAAGAAACGGCACGGGAUAAUACCCCCGUGCAACUGACGGUACCUGCAGAAUACUACACCGCCAACUACGUGCCAGCAGCCGCGGUAAUACGUAGGGUGCAAGCGUUAAUCGAAUUACUGGGCGUAAAGCGGCAGCAUAUAUUCGGAAAGAAAGAUGGAAAUCCCAGAGCUUAACUUCUGAACUGCAUUAACUACCGAGCUGAGGCCGAGGGAGGUGGAAUUCCGCGUAGCAGUGAAAUGCGUAGAUAUGCGGAGGAACACCGAUGGCGAAGGCAGCCUCCUGGGAUAACACUGACGCUCAUGCACGAAAGCGUGGGGAGCAAAACAGGAUUAGAUACCCUGGUAGUCCACGCCCUAAACGAUGUCAACUAGCUGUUGGGGCCUUCGGGCCUCGGUGUAGCAGCUAACGCGUGAAGCUGACCGCUCUGGGAGUACGGUCGCAAGAUUAAACUCAAAGGAAUUGACGGGGACCCGCACAAGCGGUGGAUGAUGUGGAUUAAUUCGAUGCAACGCGAAAAACCUUACCUACCCUUGAUAUGUCUGAAUCCCGAAGAGAUUUGGGAGUGCUCGCAAGAGAACCUGAACACAGGUGCUGCAUGGCUGUCGUCAGCUCGUGUCGUGAGAUGUUGGGUUAAGUUCCAACGAGCGCAACCCUUGUCAUUAGUUGCUACGAAAGGGCACUCUAAUGAGACUGCCGGUGACAAACCGGAGGAAGGUGGGGAUGACGUCAAGUCCUCAUGGCUCCCAUGGGUAGGGCUUCACACGUCAUACAAUGGUCGGGACAGAGGGUCGCCAACCCGCGAGGGGAGCCAAUCCCAGAAACCCGAUCGUAGUCCGGAUCGUACAGUUCGCAACUCGACUGCGUGAAGUCGGAAUCGCUAGUAAUCGCGGAUCAGCAUGUCGCGGUGAAUACGUUCCCGGGUCUUGUACACACCGCCCGUCACACCUAUGGAGUGGGUUUUGGCCAGAAGUAGUUAGCCUAACCGUAAGGAGGGCGAUUACCACGGUAGGAUUCAGCAUGACUGUGGAAGUCGUAACAAGGUAA